UAUUGCGCAAUGGGCGAAAGCCUGACGCAGCAACGCCGUGUGAGGGAUGAAGGCUUUCGGGUCGUAAACCUCUGUCGGAAGGGAAGAACGGGCAUUGGUCUAAUAGGCCUUUGUUUUGACGGUACCUUUAGAGGAAGCACCGGCUAACUCCGUGCCAGCAGCCGCGGUAAUACGGAGGGUGCAAGCGUUAUUCGGAAUUACUGGGCGUAAAGCGCACGUAGGCGGCUUCGUAAGUCAGGGGUGAAAUCCCACGGCUCAACCGUGGAACUGCCUUUGAAACUGCAAAGCUUGAAUCCUGGAGAGGGUGGCGGAAUUCCUGGUGUAGGAGUGAAAUCCGUAGAUAUCAGGAGGAACACCGGUGGCGAAGGCGGCCACCUGGACAGGCAUUGACGCUGAGGUGCGAAAGUGUGGGGAGCAAACAGGAUUAGAUACCCUGGUAGUCCACACCGUAAACGAUGGAUACUAGGUGUCGGGGACUUGAUCUUCGGUGCCGUAGCUAACGCGUUAAGUAUCCCGCCUGGGGAGUACGUUCGCAAGGCUGAAACUCAAAGAAA
rnacentral:rRNA from 1 species